UACGUAUGUCACAAGCGUUAUUCGGAUUUAUUGGGCGUAAAGCGCGUCUAGGUGGUUAUGUAAGUCUGAUGUGAAAAUGCAGGGCUCAACUCUGUAUUGCGUUGGAAACUGUGUAACUAGAGUACUGGAGAGGUAAGCGGAACUACAAGUGUAGAGGUGAAAUUCGUAGAUAUUUGUAGGAAUGCCGAUGGGGAAGCCAGCUUACUGGACAGAUACUGACGCUGAAGCGCGAAAGCGUGGGUAGCAAACAGG
rnacentral:rRNA from 1 species